UCAUUCAGAUUUCUAAAAAAUCUGAUUGAAAAGAUACAAUUAGUAUCCACAUAUUUUGAUAAACACACAUAAAAAAAAAAAUAUAUAUAUAUAUAUACCAGUGCAUAUAUAGCUACAUUAGCCAAACAUAUAAUGUAAUUCUUAUAAAACGGUAUCACUGACACAGAGGCAUAAACAUAUGCAUAUCUGUUGACCUCUGUGUUAAUUAAGUGUUGUAAAAAAUACAUUUGUGACAUGUCUUACUAUUUACCGUCUCUUUUUUUUAAACAUUUAAGUAAACAAAUUUCAAUAAGCACAAGUACUUUUUAUUGUUUUUCACUGUAAACACUUUAAGAGGAACUUUCUUGAGUGGACUUUAAUGCUUUCAAUAAGGAAAAAGAGGUCUGGCCCUCUUAUGACACAAGAGUGAAUCCUAAAACUCUCAAUCUCAUUCCUCCUUCUGUCUCCUCAGCCGGCUCAGUAAGAUCAGAGGGACUAUAAAGAAUGUUGAGCUGAUUAUAAAACAUAAUUCUGCUCCAGCCAACCAGUACACUG